ensembl:lincRNA
CUGAACUACCGCAGGUCAAGUACUUCCUUUUCCCUGCGGGUGGCCAAGAAGGAGUGGUUUAGAAUCAGAUAAAAAGAUCAGAGUUGGAGUUCAAGAAAAAGCGAAUGCCUUGGCAAAUAAUUACAUUUACCUUCGUCUUCUCCCUUCCGGCUUAUCUCUGGGGAACCUGGUUUCUCUGCAUUUCCAGCAGGAUUCCUCUCCAUGUCAUGUGGAUUCUACACACUAAAAAAGAAGAGCAUCACAAAACUACAAACCUUGAACUACCAGUAAAAAUGAGAAUCAUCUGCAUAUAUCUGAACGCACGGCAUCAGGAGCACAGUGGUACUGCCUACCAUAACUGCUUAUGUUUUUAGAAAAGGCAGAGAAAAUACCUCAUAUUCUAGAAUGCACAAGACUGGGAAGUGGGCAGAACUAAGAAGACCCAGUGGAGUUCAGCCUCUAGCACUAUCCCGCAUAUGUAGCCUUGCCUCACUGACUUCGGGGUCUCCUACCUCUGCUUCCACCUCUCCUCCAAGAAGGCGAAGGAAGAAACUUAAGAUGAUGGGAUGAGAAUACACCUGCCCUCACAAAAUCAUUGCCCUUCCUUCACCAGAUUGUUGAAAUGGUCAAAAAGAGAAGCUGUCUUGGAAAACCAGAUUAAGUACAUGCAGUCAUACCUAUGUGAACAAAUAGCACAAUUGCAUACGUUACACUUAUUCCUACCAGUUUUCUACUCAUUACAAUUUUUGGAAGUUGUGUUUUGAAAUGAUAUUAUGAUCAUUCAUUUGCUCAGUCUCUUAAAAGAAUCAAUCUCGUUAUAUUAUAAUUGCAUUUCCGUUUUGGUCAGACUACCCUUCCUUGGUUUCAUUAUUCAUUAAACAGCUUCAAAAUUACCUUUGAUGGGAGAGGGAAGAAAAAAGAGAGUGAGGGGGAAAAAAACCCCCACAGGAGACUCUUAAACAUAGAGAACAAACUGAGGGUUGAUGAUGGAGGUGUGUGGGGGAUGGGCUAGAUGGGUGAUAGGCAUUAAGGAGGGCCUUUGUUGUGCUGAGCCCUGGAUGCUGUAUAUAAGUGAUGAAUCACUGAAUUCUACUCCUGAAACCAAUAUUACACUGCAUGUUAACUAGAAUUUAAAUAAAAAUUUGAAGAAAUUAAGAUAAAAUGUUUACACUACAAAAAAAAAAAUCACCUUUGAUUUUGUCAAAAAAUUGAGUAAAAUUCUCAAAGAAGGGAUCAUUUGCCAUUACUAAAGAUAUUUUAAAUAAUGUGCCUCAUGUUUUCAAGUUAACAAUAUAUAUACUGAAAGCUGUGUAAAUUCUGAGUAAAGCCUGAUGAAUUUUCACAAAAUGAACACAUUGGUUAAUCACAACCCAGGUCAAGAAAUAAAAUGUUACUUGUACCCCAAAGGCCCCCUUUUGCCCUUCUCAUAGUCAUUCACGAUUUCCUUCUUCCCCAAAGGGAACUACUAUCCUGAUAUCCAUCAACACAAAUUAUAUAGAAAAACUUGAUACAGGCAAGAUCACAAGGGAUGUAUACUUUUGAAUUAUUUACUCAAAACUGAUAAUUAUCCAAGUUGUUACAGAUAUCAACAGCUCAUUCAUCUUCACAUGACAAUAUACUGAAUUCAUAUUACAAAUAUGCCACUAUUAUCCAUUAUAAUGGUUUGAUGAUCAUUUGAGGGGAAUGAUCUAACUAGUGUUGGGCUAUUUCAAAUCGUGUUGCCAUAAACAUUUUUGAACAUGUGUUUUGAUGAACAUAUGUACGCAUUUCUCUUGAGUACUUUCUUAGGAGUGGAACUGCUGUAUCAAUGGACAUGUAUAUUUUAGUUUCAUUAGACCCUGUCUGUUCUCAAAUAUAAUGGAACCAAUCUGGACUCCCACCCGUAGGCUGUAAAAGCUCCUGUUUCUUUUUUUAUGAUCUAUUACUUAAUUUCCAAACAUAAGGUGGUUUCAUAGUGAUUUGACUGUUACUGAUUUCUACUUUUCUCAACCUUUUUAUUUAGUAAUUUUUUAUUAACUUUUAAUUCCAUUAUAGUUAACAUACAGUGUUAUAUUGGCUUCAGGUGUACAAUAUAGUGAUUCAACACUGCUAUACAUCACCCAGUUCUCAUCACUUCAUGUGCCCUCCUUAAGCCUCAUCCCAUAUUUUACCUCUCCUCUCACCCAUGUCGCCUCUGAUAACCAUCAAUCUGUUCUAUUUAAGAAUCUGUUUCUUGGGGUGCCUGGGUGGCUCAGUGGGUUAAAGCCUCUGCUUUUGGCUCAGGUCAGGAUCCCGGGGUUCUGGGAUUGAGCCCCACAUCCGGCUCUCUGCUCAGCAGGGAGCCUGCUUCCUCC